AGCUUGUUAAAUGCAAAUGUUCCGUAGGUGAACCUGCGGAAGGAUCAUUAAUGAAUGACAAGUCGGCCUUCUGUGCUGGUGGAAACACAUGUGCACGUCGGUCGCAAAUCCACACACCUGUGCACCUUUGACUUUGGGAUCCGCUCGUCUUUUGACCUGCAGCAGGUGGGCUUCGUGCUCGCCUGGGUCUCAGAGUAAUUUUUACACACUCUUGAAUGUAAUGGAAUGUCUCUGUGCUUAAUGCGCAUAUAUACAACUUUCAACAACGGAUCUCUUGGCUCUCGCAUCGAUGAAGAACGCAGCGAAAUGCGAUAAGUAAUGUGAAUUGCAGAAUUCAGUGAAUCAUCGAAUCUUUGAACGCACCUUGCACCCUUUGGUAUUCCGAGGGGUACACCCGUUUGAGUGUCAUUGUAAUCUCACUCCGACGACUUUCUGGUCGUCUGGAGGUGGAUCUGGACCCUUGUCGUGUAACAAACGGCUGGUCUGAAAUACAUGAGUUGCACCCUGCUGUAGCAGCGUCUUCAGUGUGAUGAGUAUCCUCACUGAUUCAAGUUCCCUCCUUUGGGACACGCCUUGCCUGGUGGGCCCUGCGCUUCUAAUCGUCCUCUAUGGACAGAAUGCUUUGACAAUUUGACCUCAAAUCGGGUGGGAUUACCCGCUGAACUUAAGCAUAUCAAUAAGCGGAGGA
rnacentral:rRNA from 1 species